AUUUUUAUAAAGAAAUAUUGUGCAUUUUGGGUUGUGAAUUAGAAAUUAGGAUAACAAGAAUUUUUGUUGAUUGAUAAAUAUUCUUUUAGAUUUUUUGAUCAAUAGGUAGUAUUUUUUAGAUAAAAUUCUCAAAAAUUCUAUUUUAGGAAAGUUUUCAUUUUUGUAGAGAAAUAUUGUACAUUUGGGGUUGUGAUUCAGGAAUUAGGAUACCAAGAAUUUUUGUUGUUCUUUUGAUUUUUCUGAUCAAUAAGUUGUAUUUUAAAAAUAAUAUUCCCAAAUAUUAUAUUUUAGGAAAGUUUUUAUUUUUAUAGAGAAAUAUUGUGCAUUUUGGGUUGUGAUUUAGAAAUUAGGAUAUCAAGAAUUUUUGUUGAUUGAGAAAUAUUCUUUUAGAUUUUUUGAUCUAUAGGUAGUAUUUUUUAGAUUAAAUUCUCAAAAAUUCUAUUUUAGGAAAGUUUUCAUUUUGUAGAGAAAUAUUGUACAUUUAGGGUUGUGAUUCAGGAAUUAGGAUACCAAGAAAUUUUUGUUGAUUGAUAAAUAUUCAUUUAGAUUUUUUGAUCAAUAGGUAGUAUUUUUUAGAUUAAAUUCUCAAAAAUUCUAUUUUAGGAAAGUUUUCAUUUUUGUAAAAAAAUAUUGUACAUUUGGGAUUGUGAUUCAGGAAUUAGGAUACCAAGAAUUUUUGUUGAUUGAUGAAUAUUCUUUAGAUAUUUUUGAUCAAUAAGUUGUAUUUUUAUAAUAAUAUUCCCAAAUAUUCUAUUUUAGGAAAAUUUUUAUUUUUAUAAAGAAAUAUUGUGCAUUUUGGGUUGUGAAUUAGAAAUUAGGAUAACAAGAAUUUUUGUUGAUUGAGAAAUAUUCUUUUAGAUUUUUUGAUCUAUAGGUAGUAUUUUUUAGAUUAAAUUCUCAAAAAUUCUAUUUUAGGAAAAUUUUCAUUUUUGUAGAGAAAUAUUGUACAUUUGGGGUUGUGAUUCAAGAAUUAGGAUACCAAGAAAUUUUUGUUGAUUGAUAAAUAAUCUUUUAGAUUUUUUGAUCAAUAGGUAGUAUUUUUUUAGAUUAAAUAAUUAAAUAUUCUAUUUUAGGAN
rnacentral:lncRNA from 1 species